ensembl:snRNA U1 U1 spliceosomal RNA
ACAUUUACCUGGCAUGGGAGAUACCAUGAUCACAAAAGAGGUUUGCCCAGGGCGAGGCUUAUCCGUUGCACUCAGGAUGUGCUGAACCCUGCGAUUUACCCCAAUGCAGGAAACUCAACUGCAUAAUUUGUGGCAGUGGAGGGAGUGUUUUUGAGCACAUGCCCUUA